AAAGAGAGAGAGAGAGACAGGUAAAGGAACAGGUGUAGCAGCAGAAUCGUUUCUUCAGGACACUGACAUAGAGCCGUCAUGCGCAUGCACAUGCAAUUCAGGCCAGUAAGAGUGGUCACGCUCGGCAGUGAUUCUAAGACUCUCCUUUCUGAGUCAUCCAGGUAACAGAGUUUUCAGUGGAAAUCGUGUAUUUUUUUUCGUUAUGCAAAUCUUUGUGAAAACCAAAGGGAUUUCCUCCAAUACUAACACAGAUAUAGAACAACUUAGAGGCCACUGUGAAACACACUGCACAGAUCUGUGACGGUUGAGUCCACUGGUUGUAGAGAGUUAACUGUACUUAGGUGUACCCACUCCAGGAUCUAAUAAGAUGUAUUAAGUCUCAACAUUGGUUUUCAGUCUUUCCCUGUCUCUGCCAGGGCGUUAUCAAUAACUUCUCAGUGCCUUCAGUGGUGGCUUUCCCCAAUCAUUUUUCAUUUUGCUUCGAAUGCAGACCAUCAAAAUUCAAGGCGCUUAGAGUGUUUUUUUGCAGCGGUUAUGAGCAGGCUUGAUGGAUGUGAGCUUCUUGCUAAGCUGUGUGAAUGAGAACUCCUGUUUGGAGCCACCCACGUGAUUCAGUGUUAUUGGGCUUGGGAAGCUCAAUGUUACCAAGUCACAUUAUUUAUUCCUUGAAAUACGUGUAUGUCACAAAUAUGUUAAUGAGCUUCCUCUGUGUGUGCUCUAUAUACAGCUACCCUGGGGAUGGGUUUUUAGAACUCUCUAAUUCAACACAUAACCUAAAUGGAAAUAUUUUUGACCAAUAUUUCCAGCUGAAUUUUUUUUCAGAAGACCCUUUAUAGAAUUGUAGUCAUUUUUCUGACCUAGAAGCACUAAGCUGGUCAGAUUGGAUACCCAUUUUCUGGGACAAUGUAUGACCAUUGGAAAAGUUGAACAAAACAAUCAUGGAGUGUCUCAAAGCCAUACCCUGUUUCCUGGUGGUUAGAGUUGAUAAUAUCAUUGUGAAGGCCUAAGUUUGUUUCUCAGUUAAGUAACCCAAACAAAAAUCACAAGCUACAUGAUAAAAUUCAAAGCCAAGAGAAAAAUUGAAGCAGAAAGCUAUUGCUGAUUUAAUGGUAAGACUACUGACCACUCUAACAUGAAGUCACAGAGAGUCCUAUACCUGAAAGCUAAGAAACAACAGUGGGUUCCAAUUGAAUGUCCUAUACUAGUUUUACUAUUUAGCAGUGACUAGAUCUGUGCACUGUUCACUAAGCGCUACUAUGUGAGACGCAUUGUGCCAGGUGGCUUUAAGAAGCCUAGAGGCUAUGCUUGAGUGGCAGGAAGUGGUUUUUACUAUGGCACUACAUUUUCAAUAUGGGACAAUGGGAUGAAAUUCUAGAAUUCAUCGCCUGGGAGUCCACCCCAACAAGCUUGGAAAAAAAAAAAAAGGGAUGCUGUGGUUACAGUAAGGGCAACGGUGAUUUCAAGAACUACAUAGCAACACUUGCUUGCAAAUGGUAGGGAAAUGCAGAGCUCUGCUGCCUGAAAGGGACUGGAAAUGUAAAGGAAUUGAGUGAGUGCCAGAGGGAAAGUUCAGUGGUGUGAAUGGAGAAGGGAACAGAAACUGAAUACUUGGAUGGACGAGCAGAUUCUCAUUGAUCUCUUCAACCAUGAGCCAGGGUGGCUGGUGAGUGACGAGUGGUAGUGGGAGAGGCAGAGGGGAGAACUAUGGAGACAUUUUUACUAGCUGUCAGGCCUGGUAUACGGUUUUUGUUUACCAUACCUCAGAAUUUAGCAUGCUCUUGGCUCAUAGUAAGUUUGGCUCCCCCCAGCCCCCAAUGAAUAAAAUUAGUUAAACCUCUUCACUUUUGUUGAACUUGCCAAGGAUGUCCCUAGGGCCGUACACAGAAAACACCAUUGCGUAGCCCGUGUGGUGGGUGGAUGACAGAGGGAGAAAGGGAAGGAUAAGACACCAUUGUGUUCUUUCAGAAUGACUAGGGUAUCUUUGGGAUAUGUUCACUUUCCAAUGAAAGGAGUCCAUAUAUGUAUAGUAUGUGCAGUUCAAAAAGUCCCAAGAGCCUUGACCCACUUACUCUUUUGGAAGAGGUGAACAUUAUUUCUAAAACAAUAAGAAAAGUAAACCAUAUUGUAAAAAAACAGUGCUUGAAAGAAAAAAAAAACAAGACAGAUCCUAAGCUAUUGAGUGAUUUUUUUUUUUUUAAUAACCCAAGCUAAGAUGUUUGCCAACUUCAACACUAAGAAGGUAUUUAAGGAGUUCUGCUCAAAUUUAUUUCGUUGGUCCAGUCCCUAACCAUUCCGAUUGCCAAAGACAUUCACCUCACAAGACAGUUUGUUUGGGGGCAAACUUACUUGUUUUGUACCAAAUUUUCCUCAGUUGCUUUGUUAAGCGAUGGGCUUCAUUAAGUAAUCCAUUACAUUGAAAUGAAGCAUCUUGUAUCGUUUAAACAUUUAUUGAAACACUGUGUUGUGUGUGGGCGGUUUAUGGUUAUGCUAGAAGAGCCAUGUUUCUGCUUUCAAAUCAAAGGGAAGGAUGUAAGACUUGGAGCUGUGGCUGCAGGGAUGGCCCAUUUACAGGAUUUUGGACAAUGACAGUUUUUGUAAGAAGAUCCCAUGCUCCUGCUGGCUGGGUGGCAUUUUGGGGGGGGGGCAGAAGCUGGCUUUACUGAUAAGGUUGAGAAGUGACCAUUUGUUUCCUUCUCUCACACGAUUGUCUUAAGAAUAGAAGUCUAAUUCCAUCUGUUCGUCUUUCUGUUCUCUGGCCUUGAGUGUUCAUGAUGUGAGGCCAGUCAUAAUGAGUUUGGGGAGGUUCCACCAGGAAAGAGUGCAUUGUUCAUCAGCUUUGGGGUGGUGUGUGUGUAUAUGUGUGUAACUAUGUGUGUGUGAGAGUGUGUGUGUGUAUGUGUGUAUAGUCAGGACAGAAGUUGGUGUUGGAGUUUUCCUUGAUCACUUUCACUCCUUGAGUUAGCUAGACUGGCUGGCCAGUAAGCCCCAGGGAUCCUCCUGUCCCCUCUUUCCCAACACUGUAUAGGUUUACACCACCCACCAUGCUUGGUUUUUCUUUUUCUAAGUGUGGGCGCUGGGUAUCCAGUAAGCACUUUACUGAGCCUUCUCCCCAGCCCCCAUCUGAACCACCCUGGAGUGAGCGCUCCUCUUACACUUUUUCUUAUAGCACAGCUUGGCACUUGAUGGGGACAGGGUGAAGAUUUGGAGAUCAUGACUGACUGCGUGCGUGAGUCUAACAGACGGGAGUAUGCCUCUGAAGGAAAUGGCAAGGCAACGACAGGCCAGAAGCUCACACCCUCCUCUGAAUGUUCAUGCUAGACAGCAAUUGCAGGAUGCAGUGUUUUAGGUGCAGGGCAGGAUGUUAACAGGGAUAUGGACAUAAAGAUUGCUACUUUCUGGAAGGCUUUCUUGUUAGGACAGAGUCAGGCGAGCCGUGACAACAGCAGGUAAAUGCUCACAUAAGGUCUGCUAGGAGAGUGGCAGGGACACCUGGAGUCCUAGCCUAGAGUUGGUGUGUGCGCACGCGUGCGCAUGAGACAGAGAGAGGGGGUUGGGGGUGGGGCGUGAUUCUAGAACACGGGAAGUUGGGAAGUUGCAGAUCUGACACUCCAGGAAUAGGAAUGGAUGCCUACAAAGAAAGCAAGCCGGGACAAGUGCUGCUAUUUAGAAAAUGAAGUGUCACCCACCCUUUGUCACAAGCAACCAGUGACUUGUUUUGACCUGAUCAAAUGAGGAAACGACCUAGAGAACCUUUAGUUGUAUGAAACUGUGGUGUUUACAAGACUAGAUGUGAUAUUUUAUUUUCUACAGUGGCCUCUGAACUACAUCACUAGCAACAGGUAAGGCGAGGAAAAGAAGGGGCUGAAGAAGGCGGAGAGAAGUAGACUUAAGAACAGAGCCUGAGAAAACAGGGCUAGGGCAUUUUGCAGCAUAUCGCCACUGAAUUAAGUUAGGUGGCAUGGCAUUCCUUACAGUAAAUUUAUCCCCCCCAUCCUCCUCUUUCUCCUAUUCCUUAGAAUCUUCUCCUCCCCCCUUUGGGACUUUGUACUGUAGAGCCCACUCCCAUUAAUAGUAGGGACUAAAAAUCUUCCUUCUGACUCUGUCUCCUCUUCCCUUCUCUUCCGGGCCCUCAUCUCCCUCCCACCUCAGGCUCCAGGAGAGGGAGGACCUGACUUUAACAUCCAAAGGAAGGAAGUGAGGUUCUGAAGGAGGUGCCCAGAAGCAGCUAUCCCAAGUGGAGGUUUCUACUUCCAGGGUAUGCAAUCCCCUGUCUCUGAAGUCAUGGAAAAGAAAGGGCAGGAGCAAGGAAGGAAAAGACAGCAGUCUGCACCUUCACUCACUUCCGCUUUAAGAAAGAUGAGAGAGAGAGAGCUUCUUGCCUUCCAGGCAUUGGUAUAGGACAAGGAAGGGGGUACUUUCAGAGAGAGUAACUGUGUAACUGGUUCAGAGAGGGUAGCUGUGAGCAGGCAAAUUCUUUUUGAAAAAUUGCUUUACCGUUACAAAAUAAAUGCACAGAGUCUGAAGAUUUAGAAAGGACAAGGCUGUAGCAAUAUUUCCCUCCUGCCAAACGACACCUGCUGAGUCAAAGGCCAGUUUUAAGUGCACCACACAGUACUUUUUUGCCCUUUCAAUGGCAAAAAUUGGAGACAAAGAAUUGCAGUGUACUGUUGGCUUACACAACAGUAUUCUCAAAAACAUCCAGCAGGGGGAGCUCUAAUAUACCUUUGAAGCUCAACAUUUAAAAAAACCAAAACAAAAGAAAAAAACAAAACAAAACAAAACAGAGGGGCAUUGUUUUUGAGCUGCCAUGCCAGUGAACAAAUACGUGAGGAGGAAGACCAGUUACAUGCUCAGAGGCCAAGCGACAGCACUUGGGGGAGGAGGGACACGUGCAGUGUCCCACAGUGUCUCCUUGCCAUGAGCCUGUAGCUGUGAAGCAGUUAAACAGGCAGGGCUGGGGCUCUCGCAAGAGAAGGGAGCGAAGCUGACUUCUGGGCAAGCCUAGAAGUUAUUCUUUCCUUCUGAAAGGAUCUUAUUGUUUCUAGAGCAGCCUUGAACACUGGCUCAGAAACCACAUUUUAAAACAGAAUUUUCAUUGUUGGUUGAAGGAGCUACCGAAAUGCCAAAUGGCUAAGUCCCUUACUCAGUGGCUUGUUGGGUGGUUUUCUCUUCUCCUUCAAGUCAGAAAAAUGCUGUGUUUGUAAAAAUUGGUGCUAAAAGGGCAAGAAAUCAUAGGUCCUCUGGGCCAUGUAAAGAAGGAAUUAGAGCUUUCAAACACACAAGCUCGCGCGUGCACGUGUACGCACGCACGCACGCACGCACGCACGCACGCACGCACGCACGCACAAUGAACAAUUUACUCAAGAAAACAGUGAGGAGUUUAUAGACUGAGAGCUACCCUGUAUUCUGGGCAGUGUUUGGAGGUGGGUGAGCGGACGUUCAACAUGAUAGAACAACUUCACCUGAAGGAAAGCACCCAGUGACCCGACCCCUUCUAUUCUCUUGCCAAUAUGAAGGCAAAGUUUUUGUUUUACACCUUGAUGGUAUGCCCACAUCUAAAAGUUUUAUACAAGCUCCUGCACAAACUUUAACUAGACCAGUUCAGACCAAGAGGCACUAAAUAGAGCCAGUCUAGACAGAAAAUGUAUGGAAACCAUAUGUCCUUUGGGCGUCUGUCUUACAAAGACUGCCAUUGCCCUGGAGAAAUCCUUCACAAAAUAUGCUCUUAGGAAAAAAAGAGAGCACACAGGGAGAAGAGUGCUUAAGAUGACGGCUGGGCUCGGAGAAAAUAGGGGCGAAGUGUUUAUAAAUGCGAGGCUCUGGUUUCCCUGCACAUCUGUAAGUAAACGGUUUGAAAGGAUGGGCCAAGGUAGAUAACAUUUAUAUUCCCAUUGUUCUUUCAGGCCUCCACAGAACGUUAGGCAGAGGGAUCUCCAAGCCACUCUGCUCUCACCCGCAGAGAGCUGUUUUGAGUAAGGCUGUACGUGGAGGAGGCCAGAGAACUAGAACAUUCUCUUCUGAUUAUUACCUCAUCCUGCUGGCCUGCCAAACACAGCUAGAAGGCAGGUGUCCACCAUAAGUAACUAGCGAAAGGCUGCUCUAGAGAAUGGUGUGUGGGACUAGAGAGAGAAAGGGAGGGGGGCUCCAAGGGGGUUGCAGUAAAAGGGGUGCUCCUAAGCCCCCGUUUUUUCCAAUUUAACCUUGCCUUCUGAACAAGAGACACGACUAUUCUGUCUUCCCUAGUCUCAUCAUUACACUUGAAGAUAUGCUUUAAUUUUAACCAAUAGUAUUAUAGAUUCUGCAGAGGGAAAAAGUAAAAUAUGCAAAUUACCAUGACCCCCUCCCCCAGCAUAUUAAAUGAAAACUGCCAAGGGCCAGGGAGAGCAUGAAGCAUGUGGACACUGCCGAGGUUCCUUGUGGCUCUUGACACUUUUACUGAAAUUCCCCACUCUGCAGGGAAGGGGACUAGGAAACAGAACAGUAGGAUUGAUAAGUAGUACCAGCAGGAGUGCCUCCAGGUACUGUCCCCUCACCUAGAAGACUGAAUUAACAGUAUGUGCCAGAUAGACUCACAGAGAAAGGGUCUUGAGUGAAAAGAGCAAAAGCAGUAAGAUUGUGCUUUUAAGAAAACUCGAGAACCCUCAAUAUGCUUGUUCAAAGACAGUCACGUUUUAAAGGUUAAAGAUUCUUAUACUGGCUUUCAAGUAUUAAAUAGUAAGAUGUGGAUAGGGUCAUUUAGAGUUUUGGAAGUAUUAAGGCAGCUUAAUUAUACUGCAGGGCAGAACGCUAACCACUGCACGUCCCUGGACAAACAGUCAUAUCAACAUCUACUCACUAUGGAUGCCUGAACUGAACCGAGAGCGUUUGGCUGGGUUAGUUGAAGUCUCCUGGUGAAGUUACGGGGUUUUUCCUCCAGUGCUCCUGUUUAUUGGUGGUUCUGAACCUUUCAGCUGGUUUUCAUGCUAAUGGCUUGUGGUGCUUGGGUUUUAUUUUGGUGUCAGGCUUGGAUAUGUGGGGGGAAAGUCCUGCCAUGGUUUGUCUAGUGAACACACCCACUAAUAUCGCCUCAGUUUUUCACCUCAAAGCCAAUAAUUAAGAUAUUGUAGAACUUGUCUGACAUGAGGGUUUAUCAUUUUAGUUAUUAAAGUAGUUUCCAACACUAUAGGGAGUGUUUUUAAAAAACCAGUGGAUGUUUGGCUUAGAUCUUUUUACAGCCUUUCCUCGUGGAUGCAACCGUAGUGGCAGAGAGUAGGCACAUCUUGCGGCGUAGGACCUGGGGCAUGAGGCGUAAAGGAAGGUUUAUCUGAAGGAAAUUCAUUCAGUCCUAAAAUUAUCUCCAGGACCACACUGUGAACCUGAAAGGAUACACAUGGUCCAGAAUUUGUCUUGUGUAAGUAUUCUUUGUCGAGCAAGCCACCCGCAGGAUUAUAAAAUGCCCUGUAAGUGUUCCCCCUGGACAAUAUAGUAUACAUCUGUAACUGAACGGUUGGGGAGGUUAGGAACUCAAGGCCGGACGUGGCUAUAAAGUAAGUUCAGGGACACAGUAGACUGUGCAAGACUUUGAUUCAAAAACAACCAAACAAAAUAGCCAAAUAAUCCAGAUAAGGGCCUGCGAAUUAAUGUGAGACUGAAGUUUGCAGAUGAAAGAGAUGUUUCCAUGGUGUUGCUUCAGAAUCUCUAAAACCAAAUUUGAAUGAGUACACGACGGAGGCAGGAGGGAUAUUUGGUUGCAGACGAAUGUCAUUUUCCCACUUAUACUAAAAGCCAUCUGAGGCUUUCUCACACUGUGCACCUUUUUGGGGGUGGAGAUGAAUCAGGAUCACACUGUACCUCAUGAUGGCCUGAACUCAACUUUGUAGCCAAGCCUGGCCUUGAAUUCGUGAUCCUUCUGCCUCUACCCCCCAAGUUUAUGGGGCUGGAGGUCCACCUUCAUGUUAGCUCAUCGAGGUUUUCAGGCUUCCCCUGAAGCUUUGGAUAGGUUUGCAGUAGAGUAUCUAGGCUCUUCGCUUUCCCCUCUCUCGGUUACUGUGUUAGCCUUCCCAUCGAAGCAUCCGGAAAGGGUGCUGCCUAGGGGUGACUCACACGUUGACCUGUGUGUUUAUGGGGUUCCCAUAAGAGCAGUGAGAAGAGUAAUUAUACCUUGUCUCAUUUUCUGGUGCUUAGAUCAUUCCCUGUGUGGGCCAUUUCCUCUCUCUGAGCAAUGGAAACCAGGAGGCCCCACUACCACCGAUGCUGAGACGGAGAAUCUGGCUAAUUGCCAUUUUGAUUACCGCUCCCCCUACCUUCUCCCCCCCACCCCCCUCGAAUGGAACAGGUUCAUGUGGUUCAUGCGAACUGAUUAUUUUGACUGAAAAACAAAGAGUGGAUAUUUCUCAGUGCUUGUUGGGCAAUGCUUAAAAAUAAGGAACUAGAGCACUCCGCAUUCAGUGUUCGUGGUUUUGCCUGUCGUGGCUCCGAUACUUAAAGAGCAGUCAGUCGCAAAGAAUGAGCCCGUGGCUCAGGGAGAGUUCCUGAAUACCUCAUGGCUUUCGACAUUGCCCUAGGCUGGAGUUCUGUUUUGGGCUAGAGUUGCCAUGUGAUCUAAA
rnacentral:sRNA from 1 species